UUAGCGGGUUAACGGCCGCUACCAACUCCUCAGCUUCCGGACGAGGCUGCAAGACGCAUGCGCGGCGCCGGCGCUGCGCGCCCAUUGGACUUGAUGAGCUUGCUCCGGAAGACCUCGGGCCGCGCCGGCUUGGCGCCUGCGCACUAGCGCGGGAGCGGCUUUCCGGCUCCGUGAGUUUCACUCUUACAAAGAGAGCUGUUCUGUGGUGUCUCCCGGCUCCUCUCUGAAGUGAGGCAAGGGUAUGUAACGGACCUUCACCUACUGGACGAUGCCUGACACUGAUUGAGUUAGCUGUAAAUGGUUGCUGAAUGAAGACUCAACAGGUGCCUGAUGUGGCGACUUUAGUUCAGCCCUCGCUCCUAGUCAGAAGCCCCAAGUGGUGCUUACGGAUAUCCCCUUCAAAGCAUCCCUGUUCGGGAGUUACAGCAGAAAAGUGAGGCAGACAGGUGAAAGAGUAAAUCUUUUGAUGUCCGUCAAAUCCCAACACAUAGGCAACUGACCAGUCUGCUUCUGUAGGCUGAAUCCCACAGAUUUGUGUGAGAGCUGCUACACUCACUCUUUCCAUAGUCUCUCUCCUAGUUGAGCAGGGGCAGAAGUUAGUAUUAAAUAGCUAACAAUUGAGUAGAUCAUAUGGUAAAGGAUGCUAGUUUAUGUGCUAAGCAAUUUACAUGUAUUGUCUCUCCGUCCUCACAACCACCCCAAGAAGGAGAUACAAUUACCUUCUCCAUUUUAUAGAGAAAGAAACUGAGGCUCAGAGAAAUUCAUUGGCCGGAAAAGCACUCCGCCUGCACCCAUCAGGUCAGGUUGAUUUAGUCAGCCCUCACUGAGCAUCUGUAUUUGUCCUGUAGAGCUGAUGUCUGUAAACACAAGUGUAUGGGUGGGUCUCCUACCCUCAAGGAGCUAAUAAUAUAAUUGAGGAGACAAGAUAUAUUUGCUUGAUAGAUUUCACUCCAGAGACAUCUAGAAACCAGUAGAAGAGAUGCUGGUUGACAUACAAUGUGUGAUUUAACCCAUAUGGAGGAUCUGAAUCCAUUUUGCAUGUGUCCACAUCAAUAUCUGGUUUUGGACCAUGAUGUUCUAAAAGUGAAGGUCCAGAGCUGUGUACUUCCCUGUGUAGGCCUGGCUCAGAAUGUCAGACAUAAGGCACUUCAUAGAGGCAUUAUAAUGAUGAUGACAGCUGUACCCUCCGUGACUCACCAUGUAACCAGUGUCCUGCCAAGAAGCAGUACAGAGGAUGUCCAUCAAUGACAGUUUCUCCUCAUUCUAUCUGUGCCCCCUCCCCCACUCCAACCCAGCUAUUCAUUAACUUUGUAGAAUUAUCUUGGCAUUGAAAAAUAAACAGUGACAGAUUGCAGAUGGGUUUUAUCUGCUCCUAGGAAUCUCAGGUUGCUUAGUUGUAGGUUUGAAGUAGCCACUGCAAUGUGGUGAACUAGCAUGCAGCAUGGACUUGCUGUCUUCUUCAGAUGACUGUGAAAUGAGACAGUUGGGGCUACACUCGGAGCUCAGUUAUCAGCAUCCAGAAGGAAGCUGGAGCAAAACAGCAGUGUAAGACCAACCAAAGAGAAGAGCAAUCUAGAUUGAGAACAUGAAAAGACUGUAACUGUCCAGCUGGUGGGUUCAGCAGAGGUAUUCCGAAGCUGGGAGAGCAGAAAUCCACCCCAAUUUGUCUGGAACUGAGAGAUUUCCUGGCAUUCCUGACUUUUGGUGCUAAAAUUGGCAAGCCCAGAGCAAACUGGGAUAGCUGAUCAUCCUAGGAGAGCCUGAAGUAAAUAAAGAAGCAAGGAAGUUGGAUUCUCCAUGGAUGUGCUAGCAGUUGGUAGAGACUGGUAGGUAAGAUUAUGCCUAGAGAUAUCCAUAAGUCUGAGCUGAAAAGAGAUGGGGAUCCAGAGAACCCUCUGAACUUAACAUCUGGAAGGAGGGCCAGGGUUUGCCAUCCAAGGUGGCUAUUAGUGAUCUCUACUAAUAACAUCCAUUUAGCGCCUAUUAUAUGCAGUAUUUAGUUCUCUCUAGCUUCUGCAGGUAAUGCUAAGGAAGUGAAAGGCAGUCCCCACAUCCAAGGAAAGGCUGAACAAUUAUCUAGCCAGAGUCAUCUUAUCAAUUCCCACCACCACACCACAUCUCAAAACAGUUUUUCCUCCUAACCUCCCUAUUUUGGGCAAUGUUAUUACUAUUUUCCUCGUUACCCAGGCUGAAAAACAUGAGUGUCAUAUUUCAGUCUUCCCUAAUCCUCACCCCAACAUAGCCAUUCAAUUACACAGUCCUAAUAAUUGUACUACUGCAAUGUCUAUAAAAUGCAUCUCUUCCAGUCACAGUCCUAUUCUGACUCAUUAUCACAUGCUUCCUGGCUCUUCCCGAACUCCUCUAACUGUCCAAGCCCCUAUUCUCCAGUCUUUUCUCUCACUUCUCCCGGAUACAAAUGCUCGACAUCAGCCAGGCUCCAAGUCUAGCCAUUCUCUGGAUGGCCCCUUUCAUUACCCAAGCUAGACGCUUCUGCUGAGAGAGCCCCAUACCUCUCUUACUAAAAUCCGACCAAACUCCAAACCCCCAUCAAGUCAUUUCUCAUGCAAGAAACCUUUCCUAAUCUUGCCAGCCCACAGUGAUGGCUCCCACAUCUGGACUCUUCAGCACCAUAAGACUCCUUUAUGUUCGCCCCCAAGAAAGACUGUGAGAUCCUGGAAGAUAUUGACUGAGCACCUAUUAUGUGCCAGACACUGUACUAAGUGCUGAGGUUAUAACAGUAAACAAGUUGAUCCAAAACAACGUCACGAGCAGGAAAGUUGACUCAAGAGGACCCAUAAAUCUAACCAGUAUGCCAUCCUGUCCUGACCUGCUCCCA